ACGAACGCUGGUCUCCGUGCUUAACACAUGCAAGUGGAGCGACGAACCACGGCUUGCCCUGGGGCACAGCCUCCCCCGGGUGAGUAACACGUGGGUCACCUGCCUCGAUGACCGGGACAACCCGAGGAAACUCGGGCUAAUACCGGAUGUGCCCGCAAGGGGAAAGGAAGCUUCGGCCUCCGCAUCGAGAUGGGCCCGCGGCCCAUUAGCUUGUUGGUGAGGUAACGGCUCACCAAGGCUUCUAUGGGUAGCUGGUCCGAGAGGACGAUCAGCCACACUGGGAGUGAUACACGGCCCACACUCCUACGGGAGGAACCAGUGGG
rnacentral:rRNA from 1 species